GAUUAGUUGUCAGUGUCAAAAUAAACAGAGAAUGUAAACUAUGAUUUGAUGUGGGGUGAGACAAAUCUGUUUGCGUUUCUGGCUGCAGUGUUACGGAUGAACAGUCAAACGACAACGUAGCUGCCCGAGUACGAUACAGCCUAGCUAUACCCUAACUACCUUACACAUGGCUGCCUUACCGCCCAAAGGGUAACAAAGUGAAGUUAACCCUAGAAUAUGAAAUUCUGCAGCCAAUCGCCCGCAAUAAAACGUGAGAAGAACACAAGCCCAAUGUUCCUGUAUUAUUCAGCGAGGGGCUCCAGGGCACAUGUGUCCGCUGACAAUUCACGAUCGAGGUCCGGACACCUUCGAAAACAAACACAGUCUUCGCGAACAGGCUCCUAUAGAAAUUCGUUUUAAAACCCUUUUGAAAUACUGAGAGAGACCGUGAGUAAUGUUAGUGGCAUCGUUUGAUACAUGGAAAGAUACAAAGAGCGCUUCACGCAUGCAGAGCAGCUCUUCUGGAUGGUAAACCCCACGGAGCUAUUUGUAAAAUAUAUUCCAAUUUUAAGAAAACCCAAAAAUAUAAAAAUUUUACACCACUUUUUUAAUG